UACGGAGGGUGCAAGCGUUAUCCGGAUUCACUGGGUUUAAAGGGUGCGUAGGCGGCUUGCCAAGUCAGUGGUGAAAGCCCGCGGCUUAACCGUGGAAUUGCCAUUGAAACUGGCUGGCUCGAGUGUGAUUGAAGUGGAUGGAAUACAUCAUGUAGCGGUGAAAUGCUUAGAGAUGAUGUAGAACACCAAUUGCGAAGGCAGUUCACUAAGUCACAACUGACGCUGAGGCACGAAAGCGUGGGGAGCGAACAGG
rnacentral:rRNA from 1 species